rnacentral:lncRNA from 1 species
UUUGUUAUUGUUGUUAUGUGAUGUUGAGAGGUUGUUGUUGAUAGGUUUAUCAUGUGUGGAUUGAGAAGAAUGAAGGUGGAUGUUUAUGGUGUUGUUAUGGAAGGAAUUUAUGGAGAAGGUGAGUGUGGAUGAAUGAAGAAGACAAGAAGAUGAAGUUUGUGUGAUUUUCUCGUAUAAGCUUUUCUUGGAGGGUUGGUAGUUCUUUACUGAAUUUUUGUGACUCUCAACUUUUUGUGAAUAAUGGAGGCUCUCAGAGUGUGUAAUGGUGGCUUUAAUUUUGCUGAAUGAUUGUUGAAUUUUUCUUAUCACCUCUCUUAGCAUUU